rnacentral:rRNA from 1 species
UACGGGGGGAGCAAGCGUUGUUCGGAUUUACUGGGCGUAAAGAGCGUGUAGGCGGCCAGGUAGGUCCGUUGUGAAAACUCGAGGCUCAACCUCGAGACGCCGAUGGAAACCAUCUGGCUAGAGUCCGGAAGAGGAGAGUGGAAUUCCCGGUGUAGCGGUGAAAUGCGCAGAUAUCGGGAAGAACACCCGUGGCUAAGGCGGCUCUCUAGUACGGUACUGACGCUGAGACGCGAAAGCGUGGGGAGCGAACAGG